CGCCUUCCUUCCUCUUCUCCCGAAGCAGCCUCCACCAUCGCUUUGGAAGAGAAGGCAGGAGAGGAAUAGGAAUAGGAGGACAACGACGACGACGAGCGGGCCCUCCUCUGCCCGCCGCUUUGGAAGAUGAGGAAGAAAGGAGAGGAAAAGGAGAACGAGUCAUCCAGUGCAGGUGUCUUGAGAGUGCACACAAAGGAAAAGAAGUCAGCAGUCGACCGUGUGGCAUUCCUUCCUCAACAUUUUGUGCGGACAUGAUAGAAGACUCCUACAAGGAUGGUAAAAACAUCAAAACAUCUGGGCGUCCCCUGGGCAACGUCCUUGCAGAUGGCCAAUUCUCUCACACCAGAAGCGACUUGCAGUUUCUCCUGACACGAAAAAAAACAAACAUUUUGUGAAGCUAUAUCUGAGCUCCAGAAACCAAGAGUGUCUGUCACCAACCUAGCAGGGGGUCUGCUAAUGUAGGGACCAGCAAGGAAGAAGUAACUGACAGCUGCCAUGCCUACAGUGAAGCCAGCUCCUGAAGAGAAUACUGGAAGCUCCUAGGAAAAUAAGGUUUCAGUCUGAGACUCACAAACAAAACAAACGUAUGACAGCAUCACUCAAAGUGUAUAUAUUAUCCUGUGGAUUUCGGUGAUGGCAAUUUUACUUGUUUGUUGAAAGAGUGUCCAAGCAUUCAGUCUGGUGCUGAAAUGAAUUAUAGGAAAACUUAUGGGAAGGGUGGGGAAAAGAUUUCACUUGAAAAGGUUUCACUUUGACUGAAAUCUUUAAACUUAUUUAUACCUGGAAGAAAACCUGUGGGCUGUGGCGCAGGCUAGUAGCCAGCUGCAAUAACUCACUCUGACCAAGAGGUCAUGAGUUCGAGGCCAGCUCGUGGGGGAAUGAGCACCCGACGAUUAAAAUAAAAUAAAUAGCCCCUGCUCGUUGCUGACCUAAGCAACCUGAAAGAUAGUUGCAUCUAUCAAGUAGGAAAUUUAGUUACCACUUAUAUGUGGGGAGGCUAAUUUAACUAAUCUACGACACCCUAAAAAAAUCGUUCAGCAAGCGUUUGGAAUGAGGAAGUUGCUGUUGCAGUGGAUGAUGAAGCAGCUGCUCCCCCUGUGGCCGGAAUCGAGCAUACCCUCAGGAAGCUGGAAGCUAGAGAAGUUUAAUUUGCCUCUAUGUCUGUCUUUGUUCUAUGUGUAUAUGGCAUUGAAUGUUUGCCAAUUAUGUGUAUAUUGUGAUCCACCCUGAGUCCCCUUCAGGGUGAGAAGGGUGGAAUAUAAAUUCAG
rnacentral:lncRNA from 11 species